GAUAGGAUGGCUGAGUUCUAAGCAUAAAACUGUAAAUUUUAUAACGGUGUUAACACCUCCUAUUA
rnacentral:tRNA from 1 species